rnacentral:rRNA from 1 species
UACAGAGGGUGCGAGCGUUGUUCGGAAUUAUUGGGCGUAAAGCGCUUGUAGGCGGCACGUCAAGUCGCGUGUGAAAUCCCCAGGCUUAACCUGGGAAGUGCGCGCGAAACUGACGAGCUUGAGUGCCGGAGAGGGUCGCAGAAUUCCCGGUGUAGUGGUGAAAUGCGUAGAGAUCGGGAGGAACACCCGUGGCGAAGGCGGCCAGCUGGGCCGUCCCUGACGCUGAGGCGCGAAGGCGUGGGGAGCGAACGGG